rfam:Triticum urartu cultivar G1812 contig1222178, whole genome shotgun sequence.
ACGACCUUACUUGAACAGGAUCUGUUCUAUAGGCUCGUACCGCUGCAUCCUUUACCAAUAAGGAGGCAAGCACUUCAGUCUGGUUGAUGCACUCUGACCACUGGGCCAGAGCGUGAUUAACGGCCAGGAUGCAUCUGAUGGAUGGAUCCGACGGCUGUAGAGGAUCGUUCCUUCCAGGGCUCUCUGGCCUGUGCAGGGUGGCCCAGUGGUUGUCUGACAGACA